UCCAGACUCCUACGGGAGGCAGCAGUGGGGAAUAUUGCACAAUGGGGGGAACCCUGAUGCAGCGACGCCGCGUGAGCGAUGAAGUAUUUCGGUAUGUAAAGCUCUAUCAGCAGGGAAGAAAAUGACGGUACCUGACUAAGAAGCCCCGGCUAACUACGUGCCAGCAGCCGCGGUAAUACGUAGGGGGCGAGCGUUAUCCGGAUUCACUGGGUGUAAAGGGAGCGGAGACGGCCAUGCAAGCCAGGGGUGAAAGCCCGGGGCCCAACCCCGGGACUGCCCUUGGAACUGUGCGGCUAGAGUGCGGGAGGGGCAGGCGGAAUUCCUGGUGUAGCGGUGAAAUGCGUAGAUAUCAGGAGGAACACCGGCGGCGAAGGCGGCCUGCUGGACCGCGACUGACGUUGAGGCUCGAAAGCGUGGGGAGCGAACAGGAUUAGAUACCCUCGUAGC
rnacentral:rRNA from 1 species